rnacentral:rRNA from 1 species
GAUGAACGCUAGCUACAGGCUUAACACAUGCAAGUCGAGGGACCGGCGCACGGGUGAGUAACACGUAUCCAACCUGCCCUUUACUCGGGGAUAGCCUUUCGAAAGAAAGAUUAAUACCCGAUAUAAAGGAUGGGGAUGCGUUCCAUUAGGUUGUUGGUGAGGUAACGGCUCACCAAGCCUUCGAUGGAUAGGGGUUCUGUGAGGAAGGUCCCCCACAUUGGAACUGAGGCACGGACCAAAAACCUACGGGAGGCAGCAGUGUGGAAGAUUGGUCAAUGGGCGCUAGCCGGAACCGGCCAAGUAGCGUGAAGGAUGAUGUGUUAUGUGUCGUAAACUUCUUUUAUAUAAGAAGAUGUAUUAAAUGAAUAAGGAUCGGCUAACUCCGUGCCAGCCGCCGCGGUAAUAC